GGGUCAGUAGGUUGGUCGUGCCACCGGUACGUACUGGUCUCACUGAUUCCUCCUUCCUGAAGAACCGUAAUGCCAUUAAUUUGGUGUUGCGGGGAAACAGGACUGUUACUUUGAAAAAAUCAGAGUGUUUAAAGCAAGCUAACGCUUGAAUACAUUAGCAUGGAACAAUGAAAUAGGACGAUCGAUCCUAUUUUGUUGGUUUCUAGGAUUGACGUA
rnacentral:rRNA from 1 species